GAGUUUGAUCCUGGCUCAGGAUGAACGCUGGCGGCGUGCCUAAUACAUGCAAGUCGAGCGAACGGACGAGAAGCUUGCUUCUCUGAUGUUAGCGGCGGACGGGUGAGUAACACGUGGAUAACCUACCUAUAAGACUGGGAUAACUUCGGGAAACCGGAGCUAAUACCGGAUAAUAUUUUGAACCGCAUGGUUCAAAAGUGAAAGACGGUCUUGCUGUCACUUAUAGAUGGAUCCGCGCUGCAUUAGCUAGUUGGUAAGGUAACGGCUUACCAAGGCAACGAUGCAUAGCCGACCUGAGAGGGUGAUCGGCCACACUGGAACU
rnacentral:rRNA from 1 species